GCUUUGGAGGAAACUUUGUGUAACAUUGUGUAACAUUAUCACUGUACACGAUUCCCCUAGAAUACCUUCAUUUCAUUAUUCAAUCUCUAUAUUGACAGUUCUACCAGUUCCUUAUCACAUAUUCCAUAUGAAUUCUACGGUAAUCACCAUAGUGUAUUCUACCAUCUUGCCGAAAAUUAAGCUUCCACGUGUGAAUUUCCAUGAGCUUGUUCGUGCCGCCAUUUAAUCCCUUGAAGGCUGCAACUACGUCGUUCUGCAAAUGCAUCUAUCGUUCGUAGAGAUUUGCUUUCGCGCUUUGCUUUCGAGCUUUCCUUCCAUCUGCUUCAUAGGUAAAGGUUCUCCGGUCGACGCGACGUUCAGUAUAAGGGAUGGGGGAGUAAAGCCUCGAGCUGCUUUUCACCCCUAAUGUGUGGUUCUAGGUGCGUGCCUCAUCCCCUUGAGGAAGGUUUUGCAAUCAUGUUUAAUAUUAUUCGCGGCGCAGUAGUGCAUCGAAUUGGUAAAUAAGAAAUAUGCUAAAUUCUGUUCUGUUGUUCACGAGAAAAUUGGCAUUUCUCAGAUCGAAGAUUUGUAGAAUGAGAAAAGCAAAAUGGAAAAUGUCGAAUUUCAGAUCUUUGGUUUUUACGAUUAUUAAAUACAGAAGUUAAUUAUUGAGAUAGGGACAUAAUUAUAGAUUGCUAUUUAUUUGCAUUGUUGAUGUAUAAUACAUAUUGUACAUAGUAUGAUAGUAAUGCUCCUAAUAGGUAUUCAUCGUAGGAUAGUUUUCAAUCUCUCAGAAGGAAGACUGAGAUCAACUACACCGUUUCAUUUGUCCACAUAAUUAACGUUGAACCAGAACAAAUUACUUCAUUUUCGCAAGUUGUAAAUUCAAGAUAAGUUUUAAAAAACUAAUUCUUGCGACAUUAUCGCUCUUUUCCGCACUUCAAUUUAUCGCGUUAAUUAAUGUGGUCGCCGCCAAUCUCAAUUACGAAGCAAAGUAAUCAACUUGUUCUAUUACAAUUUCCCAAUACAUUAUUAUCGUCCUUUGUGAUAAAAAUAUUUCUUAAAAUAUUCCAUUGCUUCUCUGUUUGCGUCUACAGCCGAUAGCUGUAUUUCCGUUUCAAAUCGAUUACGGUAAAUACAUCGUUAGAAAAUCAAGUUUUCGAAACAAGCGACUACCGCAGUGUCUGAUACCUCGUCGAUCGUGGACUGUUAAGUUCGUCUCGCCUGGAAACGUCCGGGGAGACCGUGGAGACUCGGCGUAAACGGUCGGAAUUUAUCUCACGAGCGCGUUCAGUUUUCCGAACGAUUCAACGGAACGCUUCGCGUUUCACAUUCGAUAGGUGGAAAUAACGUUGCCCGGGUGGAAAUGGACGCAAACAAAUCAAUUGGUUCCGAAUGAAAUCAAACAAACGCGCGAGACGUUUCAGUGAUUCGACGAGCGCCACCUUCGUCUUUGUUUCUCUUUUCUUCUGGCGUAGCCUGGUCGAGAGGGUAGAGAAUGAAAAAUAGGAACGAGCAGGCUGCAUCGUCGUGACACUCAUUUUUUCUUGUCCUCUGUAUCUCCAGUUGCUUCUUCUUUCUUCCUCUCUUUCUGUUUGUUCUUUUAAUUCUGUCGACAUCCUAGUAGUCACGCUCUAGUAACGACAGACGGUUUCGCUUCGCAUCGACCGACAGUGCAAAGUCCAUUGUACUACUCUUUUCGUUUUAAUCAUCGCUAUGGACAACUUGAUACAAUUUGUUGGUAUCAUUCGAUUCGAGGAAAUGGAGAACACUGAAAAAGAGAUUGUAUCGUCGAAAUUGAAUAGUUCAGGAAUUUAAAAAUACGAACACCAGUCUGUUACUCGUUGCGUAUAGGUGACACACCCUGGAGGGAAUUAGUUGCAAGUUUUCGCGGUUGAGAAGAGACGCCCUUCUUGGAACUUUGUCCCGAUGGAAAGUUGGAAGUUGAACCGUCCCGAGAGCUGCAUUCGGCGUUUUACGCAGUGCGAAACGCUGUCAGUUAAAUAUCGUUGACUGAAACAGCUAUGCCCCUGUAACAAUGCUCGUAGCGUUCAUGAGUGCAAACUGGGUUCAGCUUUGCUUCUCCUUUAACUUCAUUUAUGAAUAGAAUCGAGUAGAGACGAAGAGAUCAAUUAAGAACGAUGACGUGAUAUUGUACUUGGAAUCGAAUGAAAAAUAAUAUGAUCGGUUGCAUGGGGAAUUUUGAGCACUACUAAACAGAAAUUUUCACUUUCAGGUGCAAUUGAAUCGAAACGAUCGCUGCUCGUUCAGCCGGAUGGAAGAUCCGCACAAAAAGUUCCAUUUAGUCCGAUUCCAAGUCCGAUCGAGGCUGUGCUGGUGGCGGUGUUCCGGAUAAAUUUAUUUUAAGUGUCCUUCUGAUGGCAGAGCUCGAUUCACCGUCUUCAGAUCAAAGAAGUAAUAACAAGGAGGGACUCGUCGGGAAAGUGUUCUCGGUAGGAAUGUGGUAAGAAUUCAUUUCUUCGUGCCCCUUUUCCUCUUAUUCCCUUUAUUUUGCAGUGACCCGCAGUGCUGCGUCAGAAGUGGUUGAAAAAGAAAGAGACGCUAGCAGAAAGCGUGAGAAGAAACGAGGUUUCCGGGCGCAUAUGAAAUGCACCGACAGAAGAUGGGGGGAAGCAUCCGUCACUGUUUUAUUUUCGGGGAGGCACGAGCCAGAUGUUGCCAGGGUUGGGUUUUAUUAGACUUCAAGCUUAGCUUUUGUACUUCUAUUUUCCGCCUCAACUUCCACAUUGGUUUGAUUUAACCUUGCGAAGGUCACGGUUCAUGUGGCAAAUGUACAUAUGUAAAAUCUUUUUGCAAAAAUUUUUCUACAGAUACGUAAAGUUUGCGGACGAAGAUUAGCUGCUAUACAUAUACAUUAUGUGUUCAUCGCUUCGAACUGGAGAUGAGAAAGGGUAGAAGAUGAUGGAAGGUCGAAAGAUUCGAGGGGAAUGAAAAGAGGAAAUGAAAAAAGGGAUGCAAAGGGUGCAGAAGCAAGGAGAAAAAGGAAGGAUAUAGAAUAGAAAGUGAAGUAAAGAAAGGAAAGUGUGUAGAGAAGGGCAGACUGGGACUUAAUACUAUAAUGUCUACCUUUCUUCAUAUUGAUUACGGAAUUUAAGUAAGAAUAAUUUGUAAAUCCUACGUUUCCAUUAUCCAAGUCUAACACGAUGAAGAAGUCUCUAAUCUCUUCCCUUUGAACCACUGUAAAUACAUCAUCCUUUUUAAUAAAGUUUCGGGCGCUGAACUUGCCAGCCCAAAGAAAUCUUAAGUCAAUAAAGAUACGAAGUUGAAUAAGUCUUUGAAACUUCUCAAAAUAAAGUUGGCUAUAACGUUUUGAAACAGAAGCAAAGUGUAUGACCUGCGAAUAAAUUACGUUAACCCCUAUGGAGUCAUUAACGUUCAAGAGGAACACCUAAAUCCUUCUCUCGAUAACCCACCGAAGAAACGUAGAAUCAAUUUCGAAGAUCACUAACAAGACAGUUAAUCUAUCCUCCAGAGUCCAUAGAUCAGAUCUGGGUAAUAACUAAUAGAAUGUACGACCCGAAUGUUACUCCUUUGUUCUUCGUUCUAUCGACUGGCAAGGGUCAAUUAAAUUUCAGCAGAAAGGGGCUAGAAAAAAAGGAUGGAUCGAGCGUGAUUCGCCGGAAGCGAUUUCUUUUGGAGGGAAUCGCUUUGAGAGAGACGACGUGUCGACGAGCUUUGAACGCGAAAACGGGGCUGAGGCUUGCGAACGAAGGCAGAGGGCGAAGAAAAUAGAAAACUGGCCUGUUAGCUAGUAUAUGUAUGAGCUCGGGUCCUUUGGGGCUGACGUCGAAAAGAGUACAGGGCCGUGACCACGGGGGCGCAACGUGGCGAAGGGGGACGAGGUCGGGAACGGACGAAAAAGGGAUCAAAGGCGGUGUCACACGACGCUAAUUAGUCCGGUGCAACGUGACGGCAGAAUCAGCCGUCUGCAGGUUUCGAAUGGUUGGAUGUGUUCCUACGAGAGGCCGAGCGAAAAUCUAAUUGCGGGCCGGACCUGGCUCGCAAACAGCUUUUAAUGAUUUUCGGAUAGAUAGUUUCGGAUAGUAGUUGACGGAGAAACGGUUAAUUAAAUGGCAAUGGAAGCCCAUCGGUUUUUUAUCCAUUGCAAACUAAAGUGCUUAGUUUGCAUUUUUAAAAGUAGGAAGAUAUUUUAAUGUAAUUUAUUUACCGAAUUUUAUUUAUUUACAAAGGAGAGGGACAUUGCUGACACGAGUUUCGCAACCUUCAGUGGCUUUCAAAUGGCUUUGGAGUCAACAUUGAUACGGAGAUAUAAGUUCGAUAACUCUUGUACUCUCUUGUGCAUUGAAACGAGCACGACUGCCAAUCGCCCUACUUCGACCAUCACCUGUGAUUCGAAGAUAUUUUAUGCAUUCGUUUGUUUGUAUACGGUUUAGGUAUGACACUUUGAUAAGGUUUCAUCAUAUAGUUCAUGGAGUUUUGUAGCGACAGCGUGAUCCCCUGCUUAGAUAGCAAAGAGGACAGAACUACCAGAGAAAUAAUGGAGCAAUCAGGGUGACAGAGAGCGAAACAAUCCGGAAUUUGUUACCCCGGUAAACUCUCUUCUUUCUUGUUUUUCAACUUCAGCUGGACGUACCGGAAAUUACAGCCUGGUGCCCUUCGAUUUCUUCCAUCUCCGGUCGAGAUGCGGCGAGUCAAUGUGUGAGUUCAGGUUUCUAGUGGCCGGGAUAAACCACGUUGCACAAUCUAAGGAAACGAUAACGUGGACAUCAGUGUGUAUCCCGGGUGAAAUUCCUGCCUCGAUUUCUCUUUCGUUCUUCUUUUAUCGUUUUCGCGUCAGUGACUUGUUUCUUUCCAAGUGAUAUAUCUCUGCAGUACAUAAUCCCUCGGAAAACUUCACCAAUUGCAAAUUGUUCGUUCUGAUUUAUUAAUCGUGUAUUAUUUUAUAUUAUGCGUAGUAUUUUUACUCGAAGCAACGUUGUAUCACGUAAGAUUAAUAUUAUCGAUCGUUUCAUUCAAGUAGCGGACAAGUCAAGAGGUAUUAUUCUAGAAAUUUUUCAAAGAGAACGAUCACUCUGGUAUCAAUAGUCGUUUAUCAUGAACUGUUCGACGAUAUUCAGGCGACGUUGGCCAUUCGCGACCAAAGUUGAAGUUCCUGAACACUCUGCCUCUCUCCUAAUAAAUCAAUAUUGACAGGGAUGUUAUAUUUUUCUUUCACCAUCUUCCAGACGUUCCAGGCGAAUAUCACAUUCCAUCUGUAUCGCGUUUUCCCUCGCGUUCCUUGUGUUAUUAUAUCCGACCAGAACACGGGAAACCUUCUCGAUGUUUUUUCGAUCCCAACGUGUUUCCAUAAUUUUCUUCGAAUUGAAAUCGCUACAGUUUCGUUGUCUUCCUUUCUCACCUAUUUGUCACAAGGCGUAUCAAAUUCCUCGGCAAACAUACACGAAACGAAACUAUGAUUUUAAGCGAGGACAAAUGGAAAACGUUCGCCAGCAACGUGUGCUAAUUUUCAUAAUUGCGAUAUAUGGCCUGAAAACCGUUUGUCGGCGA